CCGAGGCUCAGUCAGAGUCGGCCUUGGGAGCAGAAAGCGGGAGAGACCUCCUGAAAUCACUUUUUCUGUGAUGAUUCUAUGGACCCACAGGCCCGAAGACAGACCUGUUCUAGAAACGAGGACUUCCUUUUGAUGUGUGUGGGUGGCAAGAGCAGAUUUUUCCCACGCAUCUUCAAACUGAAAGGGCUGACCUUGCUGUGAGGAGCCUUCUGAGUCACCCGGGAGUCUCUGCAUCCUCGGCCCUCACCCAGCAGACGUGGCAGGGUGGGGCGGGGCACCUCUAUGUGCCAGAGUCUGUGAACACUGAACUGGGCCCGGAUUACCUGGAAUCAAGCGUGGGGCUUGGAAAUCCUCCAGCAAAGACUUGGGUCAUCUUGAGUUACUCUGCAGUUUAGCAGCGUGGGGUGAGGUGGAAUGGAGGAUUUUGACCUGGAGGUCCCCAGAUCCCAGCCCCAGAUGCACAGCACACACAUAUAUGUAUGUCUCAACUGUUUCUUGUUCUAGCCCCCAGCCCAUGAGGCCCCCAAGCCUCAGGAACGACUGUUAUAUUAACAAAGAAACUCUCCAGCUGUGUCAUUUGGGGCAGGUGGAGUAACUAUCUGCCAUUACUUCAAUCUGGUUACUAGACAGAGACUUGAUUUGAGGGCACCUUUUUAUUUUUUUGAGACAGGGCCUCACUCUGUCACUCGUGGAGUGGCACAAUCUUGGCUCACUGCAGCCUCUACUGAGUUGGGACUAUAGACAUGCACCACCACACCUGGCUAAUUAAAGAAAAAAAAAUGUAGAGACUGGGUCUCACUGUGUCGCCCAGGUGGUCUCGAACCUCUAGGCUCAAGCAAUCCUCCUGCCUUGGACUCCCAAACUGUUGGGAUUACAGGCGUGAGCCACUGCGCCCAGCCCGAGGGCACCUUUGACAUAAGAGGGGGUACAGGGGGUGGGACUGAGUGACCAGCUAUCAUUGCCCAUAUCUCCUCCUGCAGGCCCGCCCUUUCCCUCCUCUGCCACCGGAGUGUUUCAGGAGCCUCUAUUCCUGGCAGAGUUAGUUGCCAGUGGGGAUGUUGAUGACUUUUUGGCUGACCCAGGGCACUGGGACUGACCCGCGAGGUCAGUUCAGUAUUUUUUGAGUCCCUUCCUUCCUGGCAUGUUGCUCGAUGCUGCAGUGGGGAGAGAAGGGAGGAGGGAGAUGAAGAUAAAGAUGAAGGAUUCACUGUCUUUUAUCCUUGGGAGAGAACCAGAGUUACAGAAAAUGUGACUUCUUCCAUGGAAGAAGUCUCUACUUCUUUAACAGAUUAAAGAAGAGGCCAAACCAAAGUUUGGCAGCAGGAGAGGGCUGGCGGAGGAAGGACGGUGAAGGGGUGGUGUGGGAAGGUGUUCUUUUGAGGCGCAGAGCGCUCCAGGGACAGAGCCCUGGUCAUCCCAGGAGUGGGGGUGUGAGGUGAGUGUGGGUGGGCUGCCCAGCCUGAGCUCAGUCCAACAUCCAGCAGUGACCAGGGCAUGCCCCUCUGGACCUCUGUCCAGGCUCUUUGCUGACCCAGCCAGAGAAAGGUAUGCGAGAAUGGGAGGGCUGACUUCUUCCUCUGCCAGCCAUCUCGGCCUGGCAGUCUUGCCUAGCUUUGUACCUCAUAUUGACCAAUCAUGGUUUUAGGCCAUCCAUGAUGCUUCUCCCCAGCCCCACUGUUCCGGUAAACUCAGAAGUCUGCUCUUUGCUCAACAUGCUCUGUGGGUGCCCUGGGAGAUCUGGACAUUUGAGCUGAGGCUAGAAGCCCAUAGGGCACAACAGCAUGGAUUGAAAGACAGGCUGUCACAGGCAGGUCUAAACACCACCCUCACAGCAGGCCGGGAAGCAACCAGGUGCCAGGCCACCUGGAAACUUCCCAGAACAUCUGCUGGCUCAAGUCCUCCUGAAAAGCCACCAUAAAAGAUGCUCUAUUUCCCAGCAGCACAGCUCAACUCCAACUCAGCUCUGUAUAACUUUGUGGUGCACUUUAUGUCCCAAAAAAAAGAGAGACAAAUGUCUAAAUGUCAUAGUGUUUACUUUAUUUAAAUCCUGAGGUUAAAAAAUAAAGUAUUUCCACAUGGCAUGGCAGACACUAUAUAAUAAUAUGCUUAGGGAUACAAAAGUUUUCCACCCCCAUUGUGCAGGUGGGGUGCUGGUAUUUGAUGUGCUUCUAGGUAAUUCUUUGGCAGAUAAGAAUGAAUUGGGGUCCCAGACCCACCAUCCCGUAAGGCCACAUGAAUUGAGGAUUAAUCAAUUAAAGUGCAAUUCCAAAUGUUAAGCCUUCCAAAUGAGGCUUGGGUGUUGCUCUGCAGCCACCAGAGGCAGAGUGUCUCUGCAUAACAUACGUCAAGCAGCCUUUUUUUUUUUAAAUCAGAGAUGCCUCCCAAAAUUUCAAGAUGUACUUUAUUAUUUUAAAAGUGCUUAAGAGGAAAGAGAGAAUUAUUAAUUCAGUCUCUCCUGUUUCCUUGGAAGAAACGUAAUGAAAUUAGAAGUACUAAGGUUCCCCUACAAAGUGCUUUCUUGGUAAGAGUUUUGUAAACAAGAAUGGCCAUCUCGAUGGUCUUUGUGUACAUGACCAUCCUUGGUUCUAAGCAUCACGAAUGGCUUCUCUCUGCUUUAAUUCCCAACACCUCUGAGCCAAGGACAGUUUCUUGGCCUAAAGAAUUCUCAUAUGUAGAAUCAUGUGCACUUUUAAAAAUGAAACUCCUUUAAGAUUUCAUCAGUGGACAUCCAACCAUAUCAUAAAACACAGGCUCUAUGAUUUCAUCCCCACCUGGGGAUUUCCUUUCAUUUGGGCCUGAAAUAGUUUCACCACCUUCGAUGAUAAUUUUAAAAUUUCCAAAACACCAUUUAUUCUUAAGUUAUAUGAUGCGGCUUUUCAUUUCUAUUUUCCAAACCCUGUGGAGUUUUUCAGUUCCCGUGUCUUUGCCUGCUCUUGGUCCAGUCCACCUGGAAUCCAGUGUGUUGAGGUCAAGCACUCUGUAGAGUCCACUUGGACCUGGAGGACAGCACUUUGUGCCAAACAUGCCUCCUUGUUAGUGGGUAAGUGCGUCUGACAGAGGUUGGCAUGUUCUUGAAGGUGGUGAGUGGCUUCGGUGGCAUGAUGAAGAAGGCAUCUGGUAUCGAUAUGAAGACAUGACUGUUAUUCAGAGAGAUGAGCCAUCAAGGGGCUGCCCCUUUUUAAAAAAAAAAAAAAAAAGUGAUCUGGGAUCCCAAGGACGCUUCCUUCUGGCUGAUUUCUAGUGUAAUUCAGUCUAGCCAGGGCUACCACCUGCAGCAGUGGUUCUUCAAUUGUUAUUUGCAUUUUUUUAAAGUACCCCAGUCCUUAAUUCUCAGUAAAGUUGGGAAUCUGAUUAAUACCAGAAUAAAGCUAUUUAUAAAAGCCACUCUUAAAUAUGCCUAGAUGUUCUGUAGCUGCAGAGAGCACAGCAAACUUGAGCUUAAACAGCAACCUAAUAAAAUACAAAUGUCCACCCAGCACAAAAAAUAAAUUCGCUAAUGAAACCACAUAGUUAGGAAGUCACCUCAGGGCACGGGGCAGUCCUCCGAAUGCAGCAAAGGCUUUUUUUUAACAACAGCAGUCAGCGCUGAAGGUGGUGCGCACAAGACAUCCAGCUCUCCUGGAGGAGUGGUUCUGCGUAAGCUGCAACUGGUCCUCUGCUGUGAUGGCUGACAUGUUCAGGAAGGACCCCAGAUGGAAUGUCCCAGGCCCCAUACCCGUUAGCUACUCAGUGAAUGGUGGUUCUUGUUGCAUAUGGUGCCAAUGACACUUCAGAAGGUCAUCAGCUUGGCCAGAGUCUCCGCAGUAUCCUUGGAAAGCCAAGCACUCAAAGAUUCUAGAUUGCUCUGGGUUCUCUUUUGUUAGUUUCUUUCUAACAGUGAACAAGCUGACUUCUGAUAAUCCUUUGCAAGUGGCUGGAUGGAUUCAAAGUUAGCAUGAUUUGUUCUGAAUCAUCUCAGGCCACGUGGCAUGCCUGUGAGGACAAACAUGAGGCCAAGAAGAGUCACUGGGGGCCUGGCCACUUCUAUUCCAGUACUAAGCAUGGUCAGAGCCUUGGCCAGGGGAAGAUGAUUGAGCACCUGAUGGCUUUCUGCCAGAAGAGGCUGCUCCAAGGAAGCCGAAUGCAAGAGGCCCAGCUUUUCUCUGGGCAACCUCUUUGAAAGGUUCUAUUUCCCGUUCCCCAUGCCUUGCUUAAAAACUGACUGGAAGUGCCCAACUCUCCUGUUUAAAGGUCUGAGUCCAUUCCAGAAAUGACCUCUUACUUGUGGCCCCACAAGAGUCCUCUUUGUUGGUGAUGAGGUUGUGGCUGCUGGUGUGUGGUGGGUUUGGGGUCUCUGCUGGACUUGGCCUGGAGUACCUGACCCAUUCUCAAGCCCUCAGAACCAGCCAGACCAGGGUUAUGACAAAGAGAAACUUUGGGAAAUGUGUGACUGGAUUUGGGUCACAAGGGUAGCUGGAGGAAUUGCCGGGCCCAGCUCUCAGAUUCUCGGAUAGCCUGUCUGGUGCUCUCUCUCUCACCCCUGGCCAAAGUGGGAACUUUUGUCAGAUGCUCUGUUCACCCAUGGAAGAACCUGGGGCCUGAAUGCGGGCAGCUGGUUCCAUGAACAAGGAACGAAGAGCUGUCCAAGGUGAGCUAUCUGUUGUGGGGGAAGAAAAGGACCACAGAGAACAGGGAAGAUUAACUAAUUCUUGUCUGGGAACAGGGAACAGGAUCUCUCUGCCUCCAGGGGGGAUGUCUCCUGGAGGUCUGGUGUGGGCUGAGCAGUGGGAAGUGGGCAAAUGGGCUGUUGG